rnacentral:lncRNA from 1 species
GGGGGGGUGUCCAUGGUGCAGUGCUGUGACAACGUGGCUGCUAAUAGGUACUGGCUAUUGGAAUGUAAGGACAUUUUCACUGCUGAUAAUUUCCAUACUGUCCCUGAUCGUACCCAUAAGGCCUCUGCUGGGGUGGCUGGGGUGGUCCUGGCUGUGUUGGCCUAUAGCCCCCAUACUGCUGACCUUGAUCCUGAGGAUAAUUAGGAUACUGAGGACCUGGACCGCCCUGCGAAGGACCAUAGCUCUGCUGCUGCCCUGGGUAUCCCUGCAGUCCCGGGUACUGCUGCUGCUGCUGGGGUGGGUAUCCUUGCUGUGGAGGUGGUCCCUGGUAAGCGUCUUACUGUUGGCCAUACUGGGAGUUUCCAUCAAGGUAAUAUUGCUGGUUCAUGCCUUCUGAAGGACCUUGUCCACCAUGACUAUAUUGGUCCCCAUAAUAGUCUUCCUGGCCUGAGUACUGCUGUGGUGGGCCCUGUUGCGGAGGUCUGUAGGGAGGCAUCUGUCUCUGGCCCAUCAUGUGACUGCCUUGGUUAACUUGGCCCAUCAGCCCCAUGGGCGCCUGCUGUCCUUGGUAAUGCUGUGCCCCUCCAGGUGGCAUAUUGUACUGCUGAGAAGGAGGCUGCUGGUGCAUCAUCGACCCAGGCAUCUGGCCGUUCAUCUGGUUCUGCAUGUGUGGUGCAGGAGGGCCCCCACCCACCAUUCCAUCUGAAGGCAUGUUGUGAGAGCGGGGAGGGGGUGGAGGGCCACUCUGACUCAUCCCUCCAGGACCCAUUGGCAUAGUCUGUGUGGGCAGUGCUGGUAAGAGAGACUGCAUAUUUUGAUUAGAGUCUGCUAUUGUAGCAAGGUAUACCAGGUUUGUAUGCAAUAUCUGCUGAUACUGCGAGCACUCCGAGGCCUUCCCUUUGUUCUGAUAGUCCAUUAUACACUGAAUAAGAUGGUUGUUUUCAUCCAGCAUCUUCUGGAUGGUGGUGGGCGUGAUUU